UUUCUCACUGUGGACUCUCAUCCACUGCUUGGAUUUUGUUAAAGGUAAAUCAAUGUGUUUCUUGUACAGAUGUUAUUUUUAGUUCAUUUUACACAUGCGUUUAUGGUUUGUGAGUCAUCAGCCUUUUUCAGUGCAGUGUGAACAUUUAUAGUCCAUCAUAAUCAUCUGUCUUCACUGCAUCGAUUUUCAUUUAUUAUUUUUCUAAUGCUGUUAAAGCCACAGCCCAUUGAGAAGGUGCUGUUCUGACUCUGCACCUGCAACAUGUUAGACUAGACUAUACUUUAAUGCUCAGCCAACUACAGCUGGAUUCAAAAUCACACUAAAAAUCUGAUCCAACCUGUGUCAUAAUGUGGCUCAGUAUUGUGUAUGUACUCCUGGAAACAUCUGGGCCUGCUCCUGAUGCAGGUAGAUGGUCUCCUGGUCAAUAUCGUCCCCAAACUUGAUCAGGAGACUUCUGAGUGGUUUGACACUCUGUGCAAAAAUCAGAACCCUUUGUCAUGCGGUUUCUGACAGGGUUCCACAAUCAGCAGGGUGGCAUCUUUGUUCCUGUGGUUCACCUGACCUCCACCCAUGUGCACACACCUGCGGCUCAUCGGUAGCUGAUGAACUGGAUUUAAGGCCUUGUUGAAGUGCAGUUACUGGCUAUGACACACAUCUACAAACUAGCUAAAUUGAUUUUUUUGGUGGAACUGAAACUCAAAGUGUACCAAAUCCUGGUGUUCUGAAACCAAGACUAGAAGGUAAAAUUAAAUUAAAUCUUUCCCCACUCUGCCAAAUGUUAGUGCCUAAAAGUAAAAUGUUUAUUAUUAGCGCUUAAAAACAAGCAGUGAGUGAAGAGAAACAGUUUUGAGUUUUCUUUACUAUUGUACUUUGAUUUUGCAACGCAUGUUUUGUCUGAUGAAGUAUUCUAGCUGUUCAACAGUCAGCGAAUUGAUAAGAAUUUAGCGAUUCCGAUUCCACAUCGGUUAUUAUUGGCUCCACUUUGAGGGUCCCCAUCCUCUCUAAGCAGCAUGUCAAAGACAUUAUAUUCAUGCAAAUUACUAAUAUGCUGAGUGGUGAGAUGUUUGUUGGAGUAUUUGUGGGAGUAUUUCCCCUCUUUGUUGUGAUCAGUGUUUGGUCAUUAUACAAAAAAAGCAAAGUAAAAAAGUACAUGUAAUCUUUCUCUGUGUAUUCUCUUAGUAUUUAAAGAGACUUUAAAGCGAUGCCCACAGCAACUCUACUGUAGAAACAUGAAAAGGUAGAAACGGAGGCUGGAGCCUGACUGCAGGAGUUACUUUUAUAAAUGCAGGAUCAGGGUUUUUUUUAAAUGGUGCUUUUUAGACACUGAUCUGAAAGAAGUGUUUGUGUUAGAAGCAGCUUUGCUGCAUUUGUUUUUAACUUGGUGAAACAUAGUGUGAGUCUUUUUUUCUUAAUUCAGUAUUUUUUUUUAUUUUUUUUUUAACAGGUUUGAACUGUGUGGUCUGUCUUUCAUGAAAAUGUAGGCCAACUUGUGAAAUGAGUGCGUGCACAGCUCUUAAGAACUGCCAGCUUUGCUUGUUUCAUGUGUCCUCUGUUAUUGAAACUGAUUUUUUUUAUGGAUCUUAAUAUUUAGAGACAACAGCGAGGUACUGACCUGUGUGUCUCUUUAAACUGUAGAUGUUACAUUUUAAGGCUACAUAUUAUUUAUCUCCCACUGAGUCUGCUUGGCAUAUGCUGUGUAUAAAGGCUCUGGACCUUUCCAGAAUGAUGUAGAGGCGGCUUUAGUGUGAUUAAUUUAUUACAAUUUCAGUUUCUGGGAAGUUUUCAGUUUUCCCUCCUGUGUCUAUAAACAGUAUGGCUGGUGUAAGUUUUUUAUUUGUGAAACUGACAGUUGUUGUGGACAACUCUGACUGCGCUGUUUGAUUUGAGUCUCGUGUUAAUUCCCUACGAGCAGUGAAGACCCAAACUAGGACUUACAAGUUUUGAGGUGCCCCAGUGGGCAGUGCGAGGUUCUGCUGCAGAUCCCAGCGUGAAAGCUUUGGGUCCAGCCAGCCAGUGGAAAGACCGGUUGAUGCCUGGACGUGCAUUGGAGCCGACUUUGCUACCCGCACAGAGCGUUUCUGACAGGUGGGCGUUGCUUAUGCAUAAGAGAAAAGCAACAAUACAGCGUGUUUCUCUGUUCCAAGACAUCUGCGGGCCUUUCACACGAGAUUAAUAUCCCUGUGACCACCCCUGAUCCUGAUCCUGAUCCUCCUCCUCUGAUCGCUCUGCCCAAACUGGUGAACACGAUCCUGCUGUUCAUCCUCUACACUUGUAUACUUAUACUGGCUGUGUACACCUACCGGAAGUGGGCUCAAGCUCGAGCUAAAAAGCUAAAAAGAAAUGACCUGAUCGUCUGUAACUCGAGUGCUGGAAGAAGAUGAUCAUCAAUCAACAUAUCACUGGGAUUAAAGCAAUAGUCUUACACUGAUCUUUUUAACCUUUAGUACCUCUCAGCAGCAUGAUGUUAGAUUUUAUAUGAAACUAACAUCAUAUAAACUGAACAGAAAACUGUCUCAUUUUUGCAUUUGAUGAGUUUUAUUUUUAAAGGACAAAAGAAUGAAUGUCACAAUGUUAAUAAGAAGCACUCCGAGAGCGCAAACCUUCACCAUGGCAGCUCACUCUCCAGGCAGUAUUUGCUGUUAGUAUUGUAUAUACAAAAUAGUAUAUUGUUUUUUAUAAACCCUACUUUGAGAGAUAUAUCAUGUACUUGUUUAUUAUAUGUGGUGUGUUGUGGUGUGUGUA